UUCUUCGAGUCCGUUGAACUUGAAAAUCUAGCUGUGUAUUUUGAAGGGAAUCGAUCGAUCACAAACCGUUGAACGAAAACUCUCGGCAAAAGUAUAAAGUGACUAUCGCGAUAAUUCGAUACUCCCAAUUGGUUUUUUUUUCUUCUUUUCUUUUUCCGUUGUCUACUUUUGAACAAACGUAUCGUUGACUCGAAAACGUUUUAUCGUUAGAAAAUAGAAACUGUGUUACGAGGAAACGGAUCAUAUCGAUUAAGGGAGUCAAAGAGGUACACGUGAAACAAGCUCGAGCUUAAACUUUAUCAACCAUCUUGUUGCUGCCAACGUAAUAGAUACGAAUCUGUCAACAUACCUUACGGGGAACAACAAAUAAACAUACGGCACGUACGAGAAACAAAGCUUAUGUUAGUGUUCACGAUUAUUUAUCAAGAAAGUCCAUUGGGAAAGGA
rnacentral:lncRNA from 1 species